GAUCAUGGCUCAGGAUGAACGCUGGCGGCGUGCCUAACACAUGCAAGUCGAGCGAAGCACUUUGCUUAGAUUCUUCGGAUGAAGAGGAUUGUGACUGAGCGGCGGACGGGUGAGUAACGCGUGGGUAACCUGCCUCAUACAGGGGGAGUAACAGUUAGAAAUGACUGCUAAUACCGCAUAAGACCACAGCACCGCAUGGUGCGGGGGUAAAACGUACCGGUGGU
rnacentral:rRNA from 1 species